rnacentral:lncRNA from 1 species
GUAAGUCCAAUUAAACCUCUUUUUCUUCCCAGUCUGAGGUAUGUCUUUAUCAGCAUCAUGAAAACGGACUAAUAUACUAUUCUUAAUUGAUAUGCCCGCACAAAUAUAGAGACACAUAGCAACAUAUAUACACAAAAUGCAAACAAAAUUGCUUGCAGCUUUAAGUAGAUCUAAGUAUACUUUUCCUUCUUCAGUGGGAACAAAGGUGUUGUAAUUGUUGUUUCUACCUACAGGUUAUGCUUCAACAUUGAUUACGUGAUAGUAGCAUUGCCGUUGUGCAGAGAAGGCAAUGCAUUAAUAAUCAUAGAGGGGUACAAAAGUCCAUCAUGGCUAGUAACUCAAAUCUCAAAUGCUCUGACCUUGACCCUAUAGCCUCAAUUUUUCUUAAAAAAAGAUUAUAACCAAAAUUAUAUUUAAACUUUAGGUUGACUUAAAGGUCUUUAAUUAUUUUUAAUGUUUUAAGAUCAUUAAAGAUCCUUGUCAAUCUAAAGUAUAUUAAAGAUAAUAAAACUUCUCAUCUUAACUCUUAUCUUGUGCUUUUUCUAGGAAACUGAAGUAAUAAGAAAUGCUUUGAAUAUACUCAGAACUGUAUCUUAUAAAAGGAUCACAAACACACAAUGCCAGAAGACCUUAGACAAGAGUGUAUGAAGGGCACAAAUGUAGGAGAGAAAUUAGUGAAGACAUAGUACUUUAAAAAUAAUAGACUUUCCCCCUUUUUAUUUAAAUUUUUGUAAGCAAAAACUUAUGAUAGAAUAUUUAGAAACAUAUUAGAGAUACAUAAUUUCAUCCUUAUUUAUUUAUUCAUUUAUUUUUAAGACAGAGUCUUGCUCUGUCGCCCAGGCUGGAGUGCAAUGGCCUGAUCAUGGCUCACUGCAACCUCUACAUCCUGGUCUCAAAUGAUUCUCAUGCCUCAACCUCCCAAGUAGCUGGGACUACAGGCAUGUGCCACCAUGUCUGACUAACUUUUUAUUUCUUUGUAGAGAUGGGGUUUCGCCAGGCUGGUCUCAAACUCCUGGACUCAAAUGAUCUGCAUGACUUUUCCUCCCAAAGUGCUGAGAUUACAGUCUCUCUCUCACUUUCUUUUUCUCCAUCUCUCAUUCUGGAACCCUGAGCAACUAUGUAAGAAGUCUGGCUGCCAUGAUGCCACCAUGCUGGAGGGACCACAUGGACAUACCAUGAAGAUAUAUAGAGAAAUGCUUUAGAAACCUCAGCUGUUCCGUCUUUCAGCUAUUUGAGUCUUCCUAGGCCAAGGGCCAGAUAUAUAAACAAAGAAGACUUGAUGGUGACUCCAGCCUUAGUCAACGUCUAACUGCAACCACGUGAGAGACUUUCAACCAGAACUAUGCAGUGGAGCUGCUUCUGAACUCCUGACCCAUAGAAACCAUGAAUGAUAAUAAAUGAUUGCUGUUUUCCUUAAAUGUUUGGUCGCAUUUCUCAGUGAAAUCAUCUGUGCCUAGAAUUUUCUUUCUAGAAAAGUUUCAAACUCCAAAUUCAAUUCUUA